rnacentral:misc_RNA from 1 species
GAUGAAGAACGCAGCAAAAUGCGAUACUUGGUGUGAAUUGCAGAAUCCCGUGAACCAUCGAGUUUUUGAACGCAAGUUGCGCCCGAAGCCUUUUGGCCGAGGGCACGUCUGCCUGGGCGUCACGCAUCGCGUCGCCCCCCACAAUUCUCCGUAAAGGGAACGUGUGUUUUGGGGGCGGAUAUUGGUCUCCCGUGCUCAUGGCGUGGUUGGCCGAAAUAGGAGUCCUUUCGAUGGACGCACGAACUAGUGGUGGUCGUAAAAACCCUCGUCUUUUGUUUCGUGCUGUUGCUCGCAAGGUAAACUCUUUAAAAACCCCAAUGUGUCGUCUCUUGACGACGCUUCGACCGCGACCCCAGGUCAGGCGGGACUACCCGCUGAGUUUAAGCAUAUCAAAAGCGGAGGA